rnacentral:tRNA from 1 species
GCCUGGGUGGCUCAGUCAGUUAAGCAUCUGACUUCGGCUCAGGUCAUGAUCUCACAGUUUGUGGGUUCGAGUCUCGCAUUGGGCU